UACGGAGGGUGCAAGCGUUGUCCGGAAUCACUGGGCGUAAAGGGCGCGUAGGCGGCUCAUGAAGGCUGUGGUGAAAGUCCGGGGCUCAACCUCGGAUCGGCCGUGGCGACUCGUGGGCUGGAGCACUGUAGAGGCGGGUGGAAUUCCGGGUGUAGCGGUGGAAUGCGUAGAUAUGCGGAGGAACACCGAUGGCGAAGGCAAUCCCCUGGACCUGUACUGACGCUCAUGCACGAAAGCGUGGGGAGCAAACAGG
rnacentral:rRNA from 1 species